GGUAUCUGGAGACAAAAGAUAAGCAAGAUCAUAAAUCUACCUUGGUGGUGUUUUUAUACGAACUGUUGGGUUGCAUGAGAUGUUGGAUAUGGAAGACCUCCACACUAAUCAAUCUGCAAAGGGAACGAUGAACAGUUGUUUGAAGGUUCAGAAGUGCCUAUGGAGCUCGGUGGAUGAAUUCAUCGGUGUUGGAGGGUUUCAGGGAGGCACUCAUAAAGCCUUGAUAAUUUGAGGGUGUUCACAUGAUAGGGAAAAAAAA
rnacentral:misc_RNA from 1 species